rnacentral:siRNA from 1 species
AGAAUCCUGAUGAUGCUGCAUU